AUGUUCUGCCUUGAAGGGGAAACAAGAAGGAAAGGUGCUGGAGAGCCACUAAAAUUUAUAGGGUGUGGUGACUGCGAAACCAUGAGUCGUUCUACCACGAUGACAGGUGCAACUGACAAUUUAGUCACACUUCAGAGAAUUGCAAGACAAUUGUUUGCAGCCUUGCAUGUUGAUGUGAAGGAAGUGCGGGGAGUUGGACUAAAAAUGUCAAAGCUUGAGCAUGCAGAUUUAGGUCGCGGAGCACAACAAGGGAAUAUGCUUAAAUCAUGGCUUGGUUCAUCAUCUGAGAAGCUCAAGAAACAAUGCAGUGAGAGAACCUGCUUUCUUGGGAAGACUGAUGGAGCCUCUACCAGUGAGAUGCGAAAUUUGGGAAGCUCCAGACCAUCACUUACAGGUGUUGCAUCCCACUCGUCAAAGGUGAAGCUUACAAGUGGUAGGUUUACCAGAGUUCAUGCCGCUGAGUUGCCACCAUUAUCUGAACUUGAUUUGGAGGUCCUCAAGAACCUUCCUCCAGAGAUAAUAUCUGAAAUGAAUGACAUGUAUAAGGGAGAAUUGCAUGGUUUUCUGGGCACGAUAAAGGGCGAUGAAGGCAAGGAAAGCAAUUCAAAAUCUCGUGUUUUACCUGCCGUUAACCAGAACUCCAUACCUGUUUGUAAUGCAAGGUUGCACCAAUAAGGAGAGCGCACUGACUCCAUGCAUUUGGAGAAACGGAAUAAUAUUAAGGGGGCAUCAGACCAGGAGGUUCAAACUGCCCAUGCUUCGUGCUCAAGAGCCGAUGAAUUGAUUGAUACAGAGAGUGUCACACGGCUUGAUUUCAUGCCUAAUUCUCUAAGCCAGGCAGACUUCACAGUUUUGCAGGAAUUACCGGAGGAUGUCAAGGCUGAUUUGUUCAAUGUGCUUCCAUCACAUAGGCCAAUAGACCCUACAUGCCGCACUUCAAACGUUACUGAAAAUAAAUCUCUGAAGAAUGGAGGAACUGAUGAUCCAAAGAAUCCAGUGAUUUGUGUUCUGCCAGGAAGUUCUCAGAAAUGGGCCAAACAGUUCAGAGUUAGCAGUUCCCUACUAUUGAAUGCCAUUGCAGAGCAACACGCAAAUUCUAUCUCCAGUCAACCUCUAUCUUCAAUUUUAGAGCAUGUUGCUUCCCUCCUCCCUCUGUGUCCUACCUCAGGUAGCGAAGAAUGGAACGACACACUCUCCCGACUCUCUGUUCUUCUUACAGAGUAUAUACACCUGAAAGUUGAUUCUGAUAUUGAAGAGCUGUACAAAUGUUUCCUUCUUUUGAAAAGGUUCUUGUCAGCAUCUGAGCUUUUUCUGGAAUUGCACAAUAGCAUUAUUCCUUACUGCAGGGACUCCAUCACUCAACAUUAUGGUGGGACACCGCGUCUCUAG
rnacentral:rRNA from 1 species